AUUGAACGCUGGCGGCAGGCUUAACACAUGCAAGUCGAGCGAGCGGCGGACGGGUGAGUAAUGUCUGGGAAACUGCCUGAUGGAGGGGGAUAACUACUGGAAACGGUAGCUAAUACCGCAUACCAUCAGAUGUGCCCAGAUGGGAUUAGCUGGUAGCUGGGGUAACGGCGCACCUGGGCGACGAUCCCUAGCUGGUCUGAGAGGAUGACCAGACACACUGGAACUGAGACACGGUCCAGACUCCUACGGGAGGCAGCAGUGGGGAAUAUUGCACAAUGGGCGCAAGACGGAUGCAGCCAUGCCGCGUGUAUGAAGAAGGCCUUCGGGUUGUAAAGCACUUUCAGCGGGGAGGCGUUACUCGCAGAAGAAGCACCGGCUAACUCCGUGCCAGCAGCCGCGGUAAUAC
rnacentral:rRNA from 1 species